UUUACUGUGUAUUCAUUAACUUCAAUUAAUAGUAGUCUACCAUAAUUAAUGGCAAUCACCGGGGAAGUUUUAUGAGCUCUAUGAAAUGGAUGCUGAAAUUGGCCAUAAGGAGCUUGAUUGGAAAAUAACAUUAAGCGGUGUGGGAAAAUGUCGACAGAUCAACUCUUUUGUCGUAUAUAGUCGUUUGGUUAUUACUUUCCUACUUGUUUACCUCUUAAAGAUUAAAGAGAGUUGUUAUUACUUGCUACUUCAGGUUGGUAUAUCUGAAAGUGGGAUUGAUGAUGCUGUUCAAAACUUUAUUGCUCGGGGGUAAGUACUAAGGAUAGAGUGAGAUUUCGUUCGAAAGUUGAUUUGACUAAAUGUAAUGUACAUCUGAAGUGGAGAUUUCGUGCAGCACAUAGAUGAGUAUGGCUAACUCCAGAUAGAUUGGAUGAUAUGAAUUAAUCUUACUAAUCAUGUUGCAUAUCAAUUUCCUAGCUAAUGAAUUGAGGACUUAGUAUGCUUGUUUUGAGUUUUUUCUUUCAUUGUGAAGAUACAAGGUUGGAAGGGUGGAGCAGUUGGAGACAUCCGAAGAAGCAAAGGCUAGAGGAGCCAACUCCGUUAUUCAAAGAAAAUUAGUUCAGGUCAUCACUCCAUCAACCACUGUGGAGGGUAAUAUUGGGCCUGAUGCCAACCAUCUGCUUGCAAUAAAAGAGGGUAGCACCAUCUUGGAUGAUGGUUCAGUUGUGUAUGGAUUUGCUUUUGUUGAUUGUGCUCGUCUUCGAUUUUGGGUUGGCUCCAUUGAUGGUGAUGCAUCAUAUUCUGCUCUGGGAGCUUUAUUGAUGCAAGCAUGUUUUGGGACAUCUUAAUUACGUAUUUUUCAUUUUUAUAAUUAGGGUAUAGGUUUCAUGAAUUGUAACUCAUUUGUAAAACUUUUAGCUAAUUUAAUUUUGGGCAUUGGUGUUUAGGCGUCGCUAAGGAAGUAUAUAUGAAAGUAGAGGUGAACAACAAUCUAUUCUCAAAUACAUGUCAAAUCUAAAGCUCCAUUAUUUCAUGUUAAAAUAUAAUGUUUUUUCAGGGUUGUCCAAAGGAGCUCAGAAAAAAAAUUCUCAUUACAUGGUGAGAUGUGAUCUUCUGUUGCUGGUGUGGGGAUAUAUUCAUGGGAUUUUAUAUGGGUGUUUCUUCGGCUUGGGAGCUACACAUCUAUUACAGCAAUACUUGAAAUUGAUUUCGCACGGUUUUGUAUAGUAAUAAACAUCUUGUGGUUGGAAAAUAUUAUGAUAUAUUUGGUAAUUUUGUUUUUCUUAUUUCAAAA